UGGACCUGGCGGCAGGCUUACACAUGCAGUCGAACGAGAUCUUCAGAUCUAGUGGCGCACGGGUGAGUACGCGUGGGAACCUACCUUUUAGUACGGGACAACGUUUGGAAACGAACGCUAAUACCGGAUACGCCCUUCGGGGGAAAGGUCCGCCGCAGAAGGAGGAGCCCGCGUCUGAUUAGCUUGUUGGUAGGGUAAUGGCCUACCAAGGCGACGAUCAGUAGCUGGUCUGAGAGGAUGAUCAGCCACACUGGGACUGAGACACGGCCCAGACUCCUACGGGAGGCAGCAGUGGGGAAUAUUGGACAAUGGGGGCAACCCUGAUCCAGCAAUGCCGCGUGUGUGAUGAAGGCCUUAGGGUUGUAAAGCACUUUCACUGGUGAAGAUGAUGACGGUAACCAGAGAAGAAGCCCCGGCUAACUUCGUGCCAGCAGCCGCGGUAAUACGAAGGGGGCGAGCGUUGUUCGGAAUUACUGGGCGUAAAGGGAGCGCAGGCGGUUCAUUAAGUUAGGCGUGAAAGCCCCGGGCUCAACCAUAGAACUGCUUCCAGAACUGUCUGACUAGAGUACAGUAGAGGGUGGCGGAAUUUCCUGUGUAGCGGUGAAAUGCGUAGAUGUAGGCACGGAACACCAGUGGCGAAAGGCGGUUACUGGGCAAAAUGACGCUGAGGCCGAAA
rnacentral:rRNA from 1 species